CAUGUAGGCGGUUCUUUAAGUCUGGAGUGAAAAUGCGGGGCUCAACCCCGUAUGGCUCUGGAUACUGGAAGACUUGAGUGCAGGAGAGGAAAGGGGAAUUCCCAGUGUAGCGGUGAAAUGCGUAGAUAUUGGGAGGAACACCAGUGGCGAAGGCGCCUUUCUGGACUGUGUCUGACGCUGAGAUGCGAAAGCCAGGGUAGCGAACG
rnacentral:rRNA from 1 species